CCUACGGGAGGCUGCAGUGGGGAAUAUUGGGCAAUGGGCGCAAGCCUGACCCAGCAACGCCGCGUGAAGGAAGAAGGCUUUCGGGUUGUAAACUUCUAUUCUCAGGGACGAAGAUAGCGACGGUACCUGAGGAAUAAGCCACGGCCAACUACGUGCCAGCAGCCGCGGUAAUACGUAGGCGGCAAGCGUUAUCCGGAUUUACUGGGUGUAAAGGGAGUGUAGGCGGGACUGCAAGUCUGAUGUGAAAACCACGGGCUCAACCCGUGGCCUGCAUUUGAAACUGGAGUUCUUGAGUGCUGGAGGGGCAGGCGGAAUUCCUAGUGUAGCGGUGAAAUGCGUAGAUAUUAGGAGGAACACCAGUGGCGAAGGCGGUCUGCUGGACAGCAACUGACGCUGAGGAGCGAAAGCGUGGGGAGCAAACAGGAUUAGAUACCCGGGUAGUC
rnacentral:rRNA from 1 species